rnacentral:rRNA from 1 species
CCUACGGGAGGCAGCAGUGAGGAAUAUUGGUCAAUGGACGAGAGUCUGAACCAGCCAAGUAGCGUGAAGGAUGACUGCCCUAUGGGUUGUAAACUUCUUUUAUAUGGGAAUAAAAUGUUCCACGUGUGGGAUUUUGUAUGUACCAUAUGAAUAAGGAUCGGCUAACUCCGUGCCAGCAGCCGCGGUAAUACGGAGGAUCCGAGCGUUAUCCGGAUUUAUUGGGUUUAAAGGGAGCGUAGGUGGAUUGGUAAGUCAGUGGUGAAAGUUUGCGGCUCAACCGUAAAAUUGCAGUUGAAACUGGCAGUCUUGAGUACAGUAGAGGUGGGCGGAAUUCGUGGUGUAGCGGUGAAAUGCUUAGAUAUCACGAAGAACUCCGAUUGCGAAGGCAGCUCACUGGACUGCAACUGACACUGAGGCUCGAAAGUGUGGGGAUCAAACAGGAUUAGAUACCCCUGUAGUC